UGAUAGUGUUGUAGAUCACAA
rnacentral:siRNA from 1 species